UCUUGAUGGUAAUUGUUUAUAAAUUUCUAGCUAAAUCUCACCCUUUGCUUAACUCCCAGCAACCUGUAGCUUUUUCGUGUUAAGUUUGAAUCCUAGUCUGGGGGUAUAUAUUUCAUGUUAGUCAUGAGGGAGAAAACAGAAGGAAAUUUAGAGAGGGAAGUCAUAAACAUAAAAAAGAGGAGACAGAGGGUUCUGAUUUCUUUUUUUCUAUAGUUCUCUCUUGCUGUGAUACUGCUUAAGGCCUGAUAGAUUGUUUGUCGAGUGGGAAGAAAGUGAAAUUUCUUCCAGCGAAAGUUUGGGUUUGAAUUUUUGAUCUGCCCAAUGACAUCGAAGGUCGAUUUUGGUGUUGAAGUUGUCAUCACUCCGCUGCUCGUCUUAUCCCAGUCCAGCUGCCCGAAAGAAGGAUUGUUGUCUUAUUGAUGGUGAAAGUCUGGAAUCUGCCGGAUCCCAAUUACGUUUUUUAGUGGCCUGGUAUUACUGGAAUUGUUUGUGUCGGUUAAAAUCCCUUCGCGAUUUGCUUACUUUUAUCACAAUAUGCCAGCCUAAAGUAUGGUAGUCUGUAGCUUUAUUUCACUUGUCAUUUUCUGAUGUUUGAUUACGUCUGUUACUCAUCGUUUUUUUAUUUUGUUUUAAUUGCACAAGCAAAAUUCGUUUGGGCCCUCUUGGACUCCUUUUGGUCCCUGCAUCUCAAUAAAGAGUCACAAAGACUGAAAAUUUCUUCAUUGACUCAGCCAACCGGAAAAGGCGUACAGGUCCCUAAAAUCAAGAAACACAGAGUCAUUGAAGAAUUGAAGUAUUGUAGCCAAAAGCUUAUAUUUUGUAUUUAUUUUAUGUCGUAUUUUGUUGGUUUUAGGCUUAAGGCCCAUUUAAGUUUCAUUUAUUUUUAUUUUGUUAGUUUAGGAUCGGUACAAUUGAAGUGGGUCAAAAAUCCACAACAAAAUGGGUCCAAAUAACGGUCCAGGCGGACAGAUAACCCGGAUUUGGACCCAAACUCUCUCUCUCUUAUUUUUACUACUUAUCUACUUUUAUUUAUCACUAGUUUUAAGUUAGAAAACUUCAAAUCCCCAUCGAAUACCAUAAUGUUUUUGUGA